CUUCGACUCGACCGAAUGGGUACAAAAUACAUCAUUAGGGUAAGAGAACGGGUUUCCUGUUAGGUAUUAAUUCAAUAACAAUACCAAGAACUUCGGACACCGAGGCAUUGUAGUUGGCGACCGUUUUCUAGGUGCCUUACGUUGGACCAUUGUCGAAGUACAAAACAAUCAACCCUAACAUCAUUAAUAGUCUAAAGUUCACUUCCUGAAAUGAACCAUCAACAAUAAUCUACAUCCGUAUUAUUUUCGAUUUCGCGUCAGUGAGUUCUCCUGCUCUUUGCAACUUUCAAAACAGAGAAGACGUACAUUGGCAGAUACGAUUUCACAGUGACAAGUGCUCGUAUUCUUUAAAAGUGGUCAUUUUUUGCUGUGUGUAUCUUGGGUGGAUAUUUUCAAACGAUUUUUUCGAUUCGUAGUUUAAAUUAGUCGUGUUUUUUCAACGAUUAUCUGUCAUAUUUAUAGUACUCGUACCUAUUGAUAAAAUGGCAGCCAACGUAGUACCAACUUUGCGACAUACAGCCAUCAUUCAGAUAUCGAAAUGCCUAUGGGACCAUAGAAUAAACAUUGAGAAACCAUCCAACCUCGACGAUCUCUUAUACACGCCAAUUCCAAUCGAUACAAUUUCCGAUCUACCGUUUACUUUGAGGAAGUCGUUGAAGAUCCAAGUCUAUUUUAUGGGUACUCAGAUAAGCACAUGGAUGAAAUCCCAUAACAUUAGAUGGGACAUUAUCAAAAACGAGCUGUCUUUUCUAAAACACUUGGUUUGGAAAGCUAAUGGAACCGUAGAUUACUCCAAGACUCGAAUAAAUUUACGGCGAGAUCCUGAUUAUAAGAAUUCGUUUCAAGAGUUUAAAGUAUUAUGCUGUAAAAAUUUAUUGAAUAUUCGAGAGAUUGCAGCAGGGGCACAUAUUCGCCCUCAAAUCAAUUGGUAUAAUUAAGUUGUAUAGUAAACUAGGUACCUAUCAUUCUUUUAUGCGUACCUGAAGAUGUCGUUCAUGGGUGAUAUAAAUGUACGUAUCUAUUGUACAUAAUGUAUUGUGUUCGUUUAUAAUUUUGUUUGUUUUGUUUUAUUUUUUUAAUAAAUGUUUGUAGCAUA